rnacentral:rRNA from 1 species
GACGUAGGGCGCGAGCGUUGUCCGGAUUUAUUGGGCGUAAAGAGCUCGUAGGCGGUUUGUCGCGUCUGCCGUGAAAGUCCGGGGCUCAACUCCGGAUCUGCGGUGGGUACGGGCAGACUAGAGUGCGGUAGGGGAGAUUGGAAUUCCUGGUGUAGCGGUGGAAUGCGCAGAUAUCAGGAGGAACACCAAUGGCGAAGGCAGAUCUCUGGGCCGUAACUGACGCUGAGGAGCGAAAGCAUGGGGAGCGAACAGG